rnacentral:rRNA from 1 species
UACGAAGGGGGCUAAGGCGUUGCUCGGAAUCACUAGGGCGUAAAGGCGGCGUAAGGGCGGCCCUUCUAAGGUCGGACGUGAAAUCCCUCGGCUUAACCGAGGAACGUGCGUCUGAUACUGGAAGGCUUGAAUCCGGGGAGAGGGAUGUGGAAUUCCAGGUGUGAGCGGUGAAAUGCGUAGAUAUCGUGGAGGAACACCGGUGGCGAAGGCGGCAUCCUGGCCGGCAUUGACGCUGAGGCGCGAAAGCUAGGGAGCAAACGGG